AUGGGCUCAAGGCCAACCACCAAGUUGCAGGGAAAGGUUGAGGAUGUGGUUGAAAGGAGAAGAAGAAGGGUGGGGAUAAAGCUAAAGGAAAAGGGAAACAAAGGGCACCACAUGAAGUUUGGUGUCUCUUUUGAUGGUGCAACAGGUUUGGUCAUAGAUGAUGUGGAUACAACAUAUAAACAUGGUGAAGAAAUUCAAGACAUAAGGGCAUCAAACAUGAAGAUUGUUUUAAGAUGUUAUGGAAGCUUUAAGUUAUGUUUUUGCAACCUAAAGCAUGAAGUUCAUAAGUCUAGAAACUUAGAAUUCUUAUGUUUAGGACCAAAUUUGUAA